rnacentral:rRNA from 1 species
GAUGAACGCUGACAGAAUGCUUAACGCAUGCAAGUCGAUGGGGAAGUGGUGCUUGCCCCAUGGCAACCAUGGCGGACGGGUGAGUAACGCGUAAGGGACUUACCUGCAGGACUGGGAUAACAGGGGGAAACUCCUGACAAGACCGGAUAAUGUCAUGGAGCUGCAUGGCUUUAUGAUGAAAGGAGACGCCUGCGGAGAGCCUUGCGUCCUAUUAGCUAGUUGGUGAGGUAAUGGCUCACCAAGGCGAAGAUAGGUAGCCGGCCUGAGAGGGUGGACGGCCACAAGGGGACUGAGAUACGGCCCUUACUCCUACGGGAGGCAGCAGUGGGGAAUAUUGGACAAUGGGGGCAACCCUGAUCCAGCAAUUCUGUGUGCACGAAGAAGGUUUUCGGAUUGUAAAGUGCUUUCAGCAGGGAAGAAGUAAGUGACGGUACCUGCAGAAGAAGCGACGGCUAAAUACGU